CAACACAAUAACGAAAAAAGCAACUCAUGGAAUAUUCAAGCAUAAGAUGUAUUGAAUGGAUUUAUUGAUAGUGAAAUAACUCAUUCUUCCUUGGCUCUCUUGGGUUUGGUAUUCAUAAAAUGAGUGAGAUCAUUUAUACACACUCACAUUUAUGAUCAUUGCACUUCCACUUAUUAGGAAAAUUGCAUAUAGCACUUCUUCGACACUCAAAGGCAUCAUUACAUCUAAUCUGUGCUGUAAAUAAUAAUAUAAAAAAAAAAAUAUUACCAAUACUAGAUAAAGAUUGUGUACCAAAUCCAAAGCAAAAGAAGGAAACUUGAAAAUAAUGAAAAAAAUGUCUUACCAGUAACAUUCUUUGCAACAAGAAAUAAGGAAAGAAAUAAAA
rnacentral:lncRNA from 1 species